rnacentral:rRNA from 1 species
AGCGAACGCUGGCGGCAGGCCUAACACAUGCAAGUCGAACGGAUCCUUCGGGAUUAGUGGCGGACGGGUGAGUAACACGUGGGAACGUGCCCCUUGGUUCGGAACAACUCAGGGAAACUUGAGCUAAUACCGGAUGUGCCCUUCGGGGGAAAGAUUUAUCGCCUUUGGAGCGGCCCGCGUCUGAUUAGCUAGUUGGUGAGGUAAAGGCUCACCAAGGCGACGAUCAGUAGCUGGUCUGAGAGGAUGAUCAGCCACAUUGGGACUGAGACACGGCCCAAACUCCUACGGGAGGCAGCAGUGGGGAAUCUUGCGCAAUGGGCGAAAGCCUGACGCAGCCAUGCCGCGUGAAUGAUGAAGGUCUUAGGAUUGUAAAAUUCUUUCACCGGGGACGAUAAUGACGGUACCCGGAGAAUAAGCACCGGCUAACUACGUGCCAGCCGCCGCAGUAAAAC